UACCAGACUCCUACGGGAGGCAGCAGUGGGGAAUAUUGGGCAAUGGGCGCAAGCCUGACCCAGCAACGCCGCGUGAAGGAAGAAGGCUUUCGGGUUGUAAACUUCUUUUAAGAGGGAAGAGCAGAAGACGGUACCUCUUGAAUAAGCCACGGCUAACUACGUGCCAGCAGCCGCGGUAAUACGUAGGUGGCAAGCGUUGCCCGGAUUUACUGGGUGUAAAGGGCGUGCAGCCGGGAAGACAAGUCAGAUGUGAAAUCCCGCGGCUCAACCGCGGAACUGCAUUUGAAACUGUUUUUCUUGAGUACCGGAGAGGUCAUCGGAAUUCCUUGUGUAGCGGUGAAAUGCGUAGAUAUAAGGAAGAACACCAGUGGCGAAGGCGGCUUUCUGGACUGAAACUGACGCUGAGGCACGAAAGCGUGGGGAGCGAACAGGAUUAGAUACCCUAGUAU
rnacentral:rRNA from 1 species